GGAUAUUUAAAAUGGGAUAUAGACUGGCUAUAAAGUGAUGUUGUUUAUAUAGAGAAUAAUACAUGGGUGCGCCAGAAAUACCAGAUUUAUUUCGAGUGUUGAACAUGAUAUCUCACGAGUGAGCGCAGCGAACAAGUGAGAUAUCAUGUUCAACACAAGAAAUAAAUCUGGUAUUUCCAAGCACCCAUGUAUUUUUCUGUUUAUUAUAUAAAGGACAGUCUUUGAAAAGCGAUAAUUUUUACAGAAAAGCAAGCGAUAAUUGAAAAGUGAUAAUUUUCACAUGUGAGAUUAUCAUGAAUAAUCUCACAUGUGUGAUUAUCACUUUUAUCAGUGCUCGAAAUCUC